rnacentral:tRNA from 1 species
CGGGAUGUAGUAUAGUGGUAGUAUAUGCCCUUCGGGAGGGUAAGAUCCGGGUUCGAUUCCCGGCAUCCCGACAA